rnacentral:rRNA from 1 species
CACGUAUUUAGCCGGGGCUUCUUGGUCAGGUACCGUCAAUGUCUUCCCUGCUGACAGAGCUUUACAUACCGAAGUACUCCAUCGCUCACGCGGCGUCGCUGCAUCAGGGUUGCCCCCAUUGUGCAGUAUCCCCCACUGCUGCCUCCCGUAGGAGUCUGGGCCGUGUCUCAGUCCCAAUGUGGCCGCCCACCCUCUCAGGCCGGCUACUGAUCGUCGCCUUGGUGGGCCGUUACCCCGCCAACAAGCUAAUCAGACGCGGACCCAUCCCGCACCGCCUGGGCUUUCCGCACAGCCCAAUGCGGGGCCGUGCGCAUAUGCGGUAUUAGCAGCCGUUUCCGGCUGUUGUCCCCCAGUGCGGGGUAGGUUGUCCACGCGUUACUCACCCGUCCGCCACUCAGUCACAGGGGCUUCGUCUCCGAAAAAAGUCCGCCCCAGUGCUUCGUCGACUUGCAUGUGUUAGGCACGCCGCCAGCGUCAUCUGAGCAGGAUCGAAACUCUACG